CCAGUGUCUCACUCAGCCAUCAUCAGAGGAGCUUCCUCCUGCAGUAGAUGGGAACUAACACAGAGACCCACAGCUGGACAAUGUGCAGAGACUCAGCAUGAGCUAGGGAAGCAAGUGUGACACUCAUCAUCCUUAAACAGAGAAAUUCAGAGCCCUUCCGAGUGGGAAGAAUCAUCCUCACCUUCCAGAAUGAAGAAAGUCAGAGAUGAAAUCAUGGCAGCCACGGGUGCUUGCUGGCUGCUAAUCACUGUCCGAAAUGAUUUCCAAAUUCUGCCUCCAUUUGGGCCUUCUUCUGGUGUCUGGAUUAGAGAGAGAGCCUAGGAGAAGAUUCCUGGGAGACAGGACAUGUGGAAGGGGGCAU